GUGUCAGUAGCUCAGUAGGAUAGAGCGCCGGUUUCCUAAACCGUAGGUCGGGGGUUCGAAUCCCUUCUGGCACACCA
rnacentral:tRNA from 1 species